rnacentral:rRNA from 1 species
AACGAACGCUGGCGGCAUGCCUAACACAUGCAAGUCGAACGAGACCUUCGGGUCUAGUGGCGCACGGGUGCGUAACGCGUGGGAACCCGCCCUUAGGUUCGGAAUAACUCCCCGAAAGGGGUGCUAAUACCGGAUAAUGUCUUCGGACCAAAGAUUUAUCGCCUUUGGAUGGGCCCGCGUUGGAUUAGCUAGUUGGUAGGGUAAAAGCCUACCAAGGCGACGAUCCGUAGCUGGUCUGAGAGGAUGAUCAGCCACACUGGGACUGAGACACGGCCCAGACUCCUACGGGAGGCAGCAGUGGGGAAUAUUGGACAAUGGGCGAAAGCCUGAUCCAGCAAUGCCGCGUGAGUGAUGAAGGCCUUAGGGUUGUAAAGCUCUUUUACCCGGGAUGAUAAUGACAGUACCGGGAGAAUAAGCUCCGGCUAACUCCGUG